rnacentral:rRNA from 1 species
GACGAACGCUGGCGGCGUGCUUAACACAUGCAAGUCGAGCGGAGCGGCGAACGCGUGCGUAACGCGUGAGUAACUUCCCCCCUCUCUGGUAUAACAGUUGGAAACGGCUGCUAAUACCGGAUAGUGGGGGAUGACUCUCGUCCUAUCAGCUUGUUGGUGGGGUAGUGGCCUACCAAGGCGACGACGGGUAGCCGGACUGGGGGCGCGACCGGCCACAUUGGGCUGAGAUACGGCCCGAACUCCUACUGGCGGAAGUUGUGUGGAAUAUUGCACAAUGGGGGAAACACGGAUGCAGCAACGCGCGUGCGGGAUGACGUCAUUCGGGUUGUAAACCGCUUUCAGCCAUGACGCGGUAGUGGCAGAAGAAGCACCGGCUAACUACGUGCCAGCAGCCGCGGUAAUUC